rnacentral:rRNA from 1 species
GCUUACGGCCAUACCAGCCUGGGUACGCCCGAUCUCGUCUGAUCUCGGAAGCUAAGCAGGGUCGGGCCUGGUUAGUACUUGGAUGGGAGACCCCCUGGGAAUAGCAGGUGCUGUAAGCA